GUUGGGUAACGGCAGUAGUAGGAGGGAGAGGGUUGGGUAACGGCAGUAGUAGGAGGGAGAGGGUUGGGUAACGGCAGUAGUAGGAGGGAGAGGGUUGGGUAACGGCAGUAGUAGGAGGGAGAGGGUUGGGUAACGGCAGUAGUAGGAGGGAGAGGGUUGGGUAACGGCAGUAGUAGGAGGGAGAGGGUUGGGUAACGGCAGUAGUAGGAGGGAGAGGGUUGGGUAACGGCAGUAGUAGGAGGGAGAGGGUUGGGUAACGGCAGUAGUAGGAGGGAGAGGGUUGGGUAACGGCAGUAGUAGGAGGAGA